ensembl:snoRNA
AGCCUUUAUGUGUUGCCUGUUCAUUUCCUUUUCAGAAUGAACAUGGUGUCAGAAAAGGCGCACAUUAACUCUUAUUGUGAUCUUAAAUGGUUGUCAAAGUACUUCCGUUAAAUAAGCUCAACAAUAAGAACAUGA